CUCAUUUCCUCCUGCAGGCUGCAGCAUUUGAAUUCUACAUACUAGAAUACUAGUACUUUUCUUAUGCUGUCCAUCUUACGGUUAAAUGUCCAGGAAAACAAGCUGGACCUGCCACCAUAUCCCUCAUUAGUGAUGGCCUAUGAGUAAGAAUAAUGUCAGCCAUACCCAUGGCAGCAGUGAUUAAUAGUGAUUUGUGGCAGCUGUUUUCAGUCUUAUCUCCUGUGACUGCU